rnacentral:rRNA from 1 species
UACGUAGGGUGCAAGCGUUGUCCGGAAUUAUUGGGCGUAAAGAGCUUCGUAGGCGGCUCGUCGCGUCGGCUGUGAAAACCUGGGGCUCAACCCCGGGCCUGCAGCCGAUACGGGCGAGCUAGAAUUCGGUAGGGGAGACUGGAAUUCCUGGUGUAGCGGUGAAAUGCGCAGAUAUCAGGAGGAACACCGGUGGCGAAGGCGGGUCUCUGGGCCGAUAUUGACGCUGAGGAGCGAAAGCGUGGGGAGCGAACAGG